CUCCGCGUAUCCUUCUCAAAACCCAUUGGACAAGAAAGCCAGAAGUCCCUCCUCUCUGAUCGUCUCCUCCAAUGGGUUUCGAGAAAGAGAAGAGAGGAUGCGAGUAUGAUGCGAUAAGUUUACAUUUGAGAUCUUCCCACAUAUUGGAUAUUUUAAAGGCCCAGUGCAGUCAAAAUUCAGAUUAAAGAACCUUCACGCUUCGGACAUACCGACAGCUUUUGGCAUUUUGGUACAGUAGAAUUACAUUAAUUUCCAAUGAAACGCUGCGUUUCCUUUGCGACAUUGCAUACAUUGGAUUUAUUGAACGUAUGCGUCAAACGGUAUGCGUAGACGGUUUGACAGCAAUGGUUGCAGAAGGUGAAUGUUGAACUUUUGUUGCAUACAUAUCCAGAUGCUGCGUACUAUUGUGUUCGAAGCGUUAACGCCUCAUAUCCACCAGAUGCAUCGAGCUCUUUCUGUUCCACGGAGGUCAUUCAUGUUCAAUGGAGAAGUCCGCAACGCUACUUUGGCGGUGCCGUAGUAGGUUGUGGUGCAUUCUCUGUACCGCAUGCAUUCAAUAUUUCUUAUCCUGCAUUGCUUUACCUUGCGGUGGUACAAACAGAGGUACACACAGACUCCAACUAGCUAUCUUUUAGCAAGUUGAAAGCGAAGCAAGUGCCUCAUGUACAGAAAAUGGGGACUAGACACAGCGAAACAUCUGCAUCAGAUGGACAUUGUGCAUAAAUGUCCAAUGCGGACAUGUUUAUCUCAAUAUCAAAUCAUGUCUUAUGUGUAACAAAUUCAUUAAAUAAUAAAAAUUGUCAAAUUAACAAAAACAGCUUCUUAGCUAAAUGUAAUUUCUCAAGCAAUAAUUUUGCUAGGACUGUGGGAGUGGUCUGAGAGAGGGGCCUAAUGAUAGGGAUUUGUAACCUAAAAACGAGUUGUUAUUGGCAGAGAAGAGGGCAAACAAUCUUUUCAAACAGCUCUUUGACUAAAAGUGCAUUUUCACAAUUUCCCAGUGUUAUUUCAACCUCAUAGUCGGGAUAUAUAUAAAGCACAGUACAAUCACGUGUUUGACUGCACUGGGCCUUUAAGGUAUCUCAUAGGACCCAAUUUACGGCAACUGGCAGAAUCCUUCCGGACGUAGUUUGUGAUGCACCAAAAUAGCUGCUGUCCAUUUUCGUGCUGAAUGUUUUUUUUUUAAGAACUUGCGAAGUGUGGUUUUAAACUUAGAUAGUAAAUAUAAUCGAAUACAUUUAGGAGUAAGAACUUGAGUUGACGACGGUGUCGUUUUCAGUAUGUUUGCGAAGUCCAACACAGCGAUUAAACGCUCCGAUAGGCGAGGAGUCACUCGUUCCACAUUAAACUCAACGAUUUACAAUGGAGUUGAGCGACGACGAGUAGUGUGGUGGGCCGACUGGAGCUCCGGCGUUUUAAUGAAAAAACGACACAUUUCAGCACCCAAAGAAUAGGCAGCAAUUACACACGAUAUUUUCUAUUCGCCGCUCAACUCAACAGGCAUCCAGCCUCUUUGGUAGCUAGAAAGGAGGAAGCUGAAAGCUGACAUAUCCACAGCCUUUCCCUCUCUGUCUGUGGAGGAACUGUCCGAGUUGGUCCCAGACAAAGAGGAGCUGAAUGUAGUGAAGAUCUAUGCCCACAAGGGAGAUGCAGUCACCCUCUACGUGCUUCAUAAGAACCCAGUGUUCUUUGAGCUGGAAAACGUGUCUAUCUCACAGCAUUCACAACAUGGCCUCCAGUGUUACAGAAGCUGGCUGGAGGGGCAGGAAAGAUCUCAUGCUGCCUGGAGUGGUGGUGCCUCCAAGUGGUCUCCCAGAGGUGAAGAAGGGGGACUUCUGUGCUGUUAAAGUUGUUAGCAACAGGUUAUGAGUCAACCUGCGCAUCACUACCACAAGGACGCUAGACAAAAUGCAGCACUGCCACCAGCUGGUCUUCCCUGGCCAGCCACCCGUAGUAAAGAAGGGCCACAUUGAGCCCAUAGACAUCUCUGUGGCCUUCAGGAACUCCAACAAGAAGGUGACCAUGAUAAAGAACCUGGAGGUGUAUGGUGUGGACCCCAUGGCCGUAUCGUUAGCCCUGCAGCACAGAGUCCACGCCAGCUCAGCCCUGAACUCCGUCCAUGGCUCAAAGGACCGUGUCCUGGUCCAGAUACAAGGAAACCGGGUCCAGCAAGUCGGCAAACUGCUGCUACUAUGACCGUCAGGUAGAAGGCGCUGGACUCCAGAAGAUGAGGAAGGUAACAAGAGGUUUUGGUAUUAUUAGGGUUUCACCAUUGGAAACAAAUGAAGCAUAUAAUCAUUCAUGCAAAGCAUAAACCAAGCUUAUACCAGCCUUCUCUUAAUGUUACUAUAGCCAUAUAUCAUUUAAUCAAAGAAAGAUUCAUUAUAUCCAUUAUCCUUUAAAUGCAGUAUACAUCACAUUUUACUAGUUAAUUUGUGGAAAAAAUAACAUGUAUAUUCUGAUAAAUGUGUGCCGAGCAAAUUAACACAUUUUACUACUACUCCCCUAGUUAUUGUACUCAUCCAUCUGUUUAAGACAGCAUUAGAUACCCAGCAGCAGUUAGUUCUAUAGGUAUACUUACAGGGGAUGCACACUAUACCCAGGGCUUGGUAGAACACACCCUGCAGAGUGACCAUCCAGUGUUCCUCUUGAGGGUUCAUGACUUUACCCACCACAUAUACUGUAAUAGCAGAAACAGCAUCCAGGAGAGUGCCUCUCCUCUCACCAGCACAUAUCUGUGCUAUGGUCAUAUCACUGGGGGUUAACCACGCACACGCACACAUAUGUACAAACAUGCACACACAGUGUCUGUAUUUACCCAUUGUUAAUCAUUACUCAGACGAUAUUUGAGGCACACACAAGCUUAUUAGCUGGACUACAGAGGUUGGCCACUUCGAAAUUCAACUCACCUUGUGUGCAUCUAAAGAAACGUCUUCCAGUCCACUCACUUAUCUACUUUUAUUAUCUCAUGCUGAUGUGGUUGUUGUUUUUCCCUUUUUAGCCAUCUCUCAUAAUAUGAUGACCCCGAUGACCUUAGGGUCUUUCUUUCUUGCUGGUAAAUAUGUACUUUGACAUCCAGCACAUACUCAAAGCCAUUGGAUCUGUGUAUCUCUUCUCAUUCAAAAUACACUGAACAAAAAUAUCAACCUGGCUGCCACCCGCCCUUCACCCACAAAAUAUUUCAUGACCUUGCGGAUAUAACCAUGGGGACUGCAGGUUAUGAGUCAACCUGCGCAUCACUACCACAAGGACGCUAGACAAAAUGCAGCACUGCCACCAGCUGGUCUUCCCUGGCCAGCCACCCGUAGUAAAGAAGGGCCACAUUGAGCCCAUAGACAUCUCUGUGGCCUUCAGGAACUCCAACAAGAAGGUGACCAUGAUAAAGAACCUGGAGGUGUAUGGUGUGGACCCCAUGGCCGUAUCGUUAGCCCUGCAGCACAGAGUCCACGCCAGCUCAGCCCUGAACUCCGUCCAUGGCUCAAAGGACCGUGUCCUGGUCCAGAUACAAGGAAACCGGGUCCAGCAAGUCGGCAAACUGCUGCUACUGUAGGUUCACAAACAUUUCCUAUUGGUAACCACAUGACAAGACUGUCUUAAUACCAACUCUUGAUUUAACAGGUGUUUAUGUGCAUCAUUUCUAAGGCUUUCCCCCACUUUAUUUUUCCGAUAAGUACCAAAUUCCCCGCAAGUACAUCCAGGGUCUAGACAAAGUUCAGAAGCCUGAAAAGAAGAAAUAAUAGAACCUCAACAUUUCAUCAACAAAUGACCGUCAGGUAGAAGGCGCUGGACUCCAGAAGAUGAGGAAGGUAACAAGAGGUUUUGGUAUUAUUAGGGUUUCACCAUUGGAAACAAAUGAAGCAUAUAAUCAUUCAUGCAAAGCAUAAACCAAGCUUAUACCAGCCUUCUCUUAAUGUUACUAUAGCCAUAUAUCAUUUAAUCAAAGAAAGAUUCAUUAUAUCCAUUAUCCUUUAAAUGCAGUAUACAUCACAUUUUACUAGUUAAUUUGUGGAAAAAAUAACAUGUAUAUUCUGAUAAAUGUGUGCCGAGCAAAUUAACACAUUUUACUACUACUCCCCUAGUUAUUGUACUCAUCCAUCUGUUUAAGACAGCAUUAGAUACCCAGCAGCAGUUAGUUCUAUAGGUAUACUUACAGGGGAUGCACACUAUACCCAGGGCUUGGUAGAACACACCCUGCAGAGUGACCAUCCAGUGUUCCUCUUGAGGGUUCAUGACUUUACCCACCACAUAUACUGUAAUAGCAGAAACAGCAUCCAGGAGAGUGCCUCUCCUCUCACCAGCACAUAUCUGUGCUAUGGUCAUAUCACUGGGGGUUAACCACGCACACAUAUGUACAAACAUGCACACACAGUGUCUGUAUUUACCCAUUGUUAAUCAUUACUCAGACGAUAUUUGAGGCACACACAAGCUUAUUAGCUGGACUACAGAGGUUGGCCACUUCGAAAUUCAACUCACCUUGUGUGCAUCUAAAGAAACGUCUUCCAGUCCACUCACUUAUCUACUUUUAUUAUCUCAUGCUGAUGUGGUUGUUGUUUUUCCCUUUUUAGCCAUCUCUCAUAAUAUGAUGACCCCGAUGACCUUAGGGUCUUUCUUUCUUGCUGGUAAAUAUGUACUUUGACAUCCAGCACAUACUCAAAGCCAUUGGAUCUGUGUAUCUCUUCUCAUUCAAAAUACACUGAACAAAAAUAUAAGCGCAACAUGUAAGUGUUUGCUCCCAUGUUUCAUGAGCUGAAAUAAAAGAUCCC